CUUUGCCUGCUAUCUCUUACCAUGUCUUUUGAGUACCUUCGUUUCCUCGGCGGGUUCGCCCGCCGAUUGGACAAUUUAAACCAUUUGCAGUUGCAAUCAGCGUCUGAAAAAACAUAAUAGUUACAACUUUCAACAACGGAUCUCUUGGUUCUGGCAUCGAUGAAGAACGCAGCGAAAUGCGAUAAGUAGUGUGAAUUGCAGAAUUCAGUGAAUCAUCGAAUCUUUGAACGCACAUUGCGCCCCUUGGUAUUCCAUGGGGCAUGCCUGUUCGAGCGUCAUUUGUACCUUCAAGCUCUGCUUGGUGUUGGGUGUUUGUCUCGCCUCUGCGUGUAGACUCGCCUCAAAACAAUUGGCAGCCGGCGUAUUGAUUUCGGAGCGCAUACAUCUCGCGCUUUGCACUCAGAACGACGACGUCCAAAAGUACAUUUUUACACUCUUGACCUCAGAUCAGGUAGGGAUACCCGCUGAACUUAAGCAUAUCAAUAAGCGGAGGA
rnacentral:rRNA from 1 species